ensembl:misc_RNA Metazoa_SRP Metazoan signal recognition particle RNA
GCUGGGUGUGGUGGCGCAUGCCUGCAGUCCCAGCUACUUGGGAGGCUGAGGUGGGAGGAUCGCUUAAGCCCAGGAGAUUGGGGCUGCAGUGAGCCAUGAUUGUGCCACUGCACUCCAGCCUGGGCAACAAAGAGAGACCUCUCUCAC